CCGGCUGCUGGCUGGCCGAGCCAAGCCUCUGACCCAAGGCAUCUGGACGUAGACCUGUGCUAUCCGUGCUGUGCCCUGUGACCCAGCCUUCCACCGGCUCUGGUCUCUGCUCAUGGCCACAGCUGCACCCACAUAUGGCACGGAAGACCAAGUGAAAGGCACCAGGUGCUGUGGAUGGAUACUGGGAGGGGCAAAAGCAGAUACACGUCAUCCCUGGCCUCGUGGAACUGAUGAAGACAUGGAGCAUACAGGCAGCUGGAGGACUGAUUCCUUGACUCCACUCCUGCCCUCCACCUCCUCCUUGGAACUGCAUCCACUGAUCUCUGACUUGGACCCUG